CGGACGGGUGAGUAACGCGUGAGAAUCUAACUUCAGGACGGGGACAACAGUUGGAAACGACUGCUAAUACCCGAUGUGCCGAAAGGUGAAACCUAAUUGGCCUGAAGAAGAGCUUGCGUCUGAUUAGCUAGUUGGUGGGGUAAGAGCCUACCAAGGCGACGAUCAGUAGCUGGUCUGAGAGGAUGAGCAGCCACACUGGGACUGAGACACGGCCCAGACUCCUACGGGAGGCAGCAGUGGGGAAUUUUCCGCAAUGGGCGAAAGCCUGACGGAGCAACGCCGCGUGAGGGAGGAAGGUCUUUGGAUUGUAAACCUCUUUUCUCAAGGAAGAAGUUCUGACGGUACUUGAGGAAUCAGCCUCGGCUAACUCCGUGCCAGCAGCCGCGGUAAUACGGGGGAGGCAAGCGUUAUCCGGAAUUAUUGGGCGUAAAGCGUCCGCAGGUGGUCAGCCAAGUCUGCCGUCAAAUCAGGUUGCUUAACGACCUAAAGGCGGUGGAAACUGGCAGACUAGAGAGCAGUAGGGGUAGCAGGAAUUCCCAGUGUAGCGGUGAAAUGCGUAGAGAUUGGGAAGAACAUCGGUGGCGAAAGCGUGCUACUGGGCUGUAUCUGACACUCAGGGACGAAAGCUAGGGGA
rnacentral:rRNA from 1 species